UCCGUAGGGGAACCUGCGGAGGGAUCAUUACUGAGUUACCGCUCUAUAACCCUUUGUGAACAUACCUAACCGUUGCUUCGGCGGGCAGGGGAAGCCUCUCGCGGGCCUCCCCUCCCGGCGCCGGCCCCACCACGGGGACGGGGCGCCCGCCGGAGGAAACCAAACUCUAUUUACACGACGUCUCUUCUGAGUGGCACAAGCAAAUAAUUAAAACUUUUAACAACGGAUCUCUUGGUUCUGGCAUCGAUGAAGAACGCAGCGAAAUGCGAUAAGUAAUGUGAAUUGCAGAAUUCAGUGAAUCAUCGAAUCUUUGAACGCACAUUGCGCUCGCCAGCAUUCUGGCGAGCAUGCCUGUUCGAGCGUCAUUUCAACCCUCAAGCACCGCUUGGUUUUGGGGCCCCACGGCACACGUGGGCCCUUAAAGGUAGUGGCGGACCCUCCCGGAGCCUCCUUUGCGUAGUAACUAACGUCUCGCACUGGGAUUCGGAGGGACUCUUGCCGUAAAACCCCCCAAUUUUUUACAGGUUGACCUCGGAUCAGGUAGGAAUACCCGCUGAACUUAAGCAUAUCAAUAAGCCGGAGGAA
rnacentral:rRNA from 1 species